GGUUGUGGCUCAGUGGUAGAGCUCUUGCCUAGCAUGUAUGCAACACUGGGUUCAAUUCUUAGCACCA
rnacentral:tRNA from 1 species